rnacentral:tRNA from 1 species
AGCGGGUUGGAGCACUGGUUGUGGCUCACGAGCCUCAUAAGCUCGACGUCGGGGAAGUUCGAUUCUUCCACCCGCUA